ensembl:lncRNA
UCUCUACGGACCGUUUGCUGACGGACUUCCCUGGGCCUGCUACCUGAGACCUGCUGCUUCCUCCCUGACCUGCACCCUCUCGUUGUCCAAGACCGGCCUCGCUGCUCCUGCCCUUCGGCCUCGGACCGUCGGAACGUCGUGCAGCGGGACUGCUGCUGGAUCCUGGUGAAGGAAAACAACGUUGUUAACACGCUGAUAUUUCCAGUUGUUGCUGAGCAGUGCUGUACAGAGACAAGGAUGUUCCAGUUUUCUCAGCUUCUGCCAGCAAGAAGGCUCAGGGAGCACAAGGACCUGUGAGGGGACAGAAAUAGGACAGCUGAUCUAAACUGGCAAAAGAGAUGUUCCAUACCCUAAGAUAGCACAUGGAAUGAAAGCUGGAAAAAAGGGGAGAGUUUUUGGGGUGGCCUUCCACUGCUCAGAAACUGGCUGGGCAUACAUCAGAAGGUGUGUGUUCAUCCUUUCAGCAUCCCUCUGAGAGCUAAGGAUUUAGUCUUCUUCAACCAGAAUACAAGUCAGAGAGGCUGUGAAAAUUUGAGGUCUUUGUUGCAAGGGUAUCUAUGGUAUGAGUCUUUUCCUCUGCAGUGUUGAGUGUACAUGGAGUUGUUUUGAUUCAAGCCCUGCAUGAAGACUGCUAUUUUCUUGCAGUCUGCUUCCUGGUACCCUGCUGAAGUUUCAAAGUUGGACAUUGGCCUCCCCCAGCCUCAGCUGGUAUCAGUUGUGACAAAGUCGAUGCAGUGACUCUAUGAUUUUAUCACAAUGGUUAUACAUGUAUAUUCAUAUAUCUACAUGGAUAAAAUGUGUGAGGUAAUAAGCGCUUGAACACUGGGAAAAUGUAGCAAACAAAAACCAGAAGAGGUCAAGGUGAGUUCAGAAGGUCCUCAACCUGUCAGGUCAGCGCAAAGAUUGGUCACUUAAUAAUACAAAAGGUUACUGAGCAACAGAGAAAAGCUAUGAAAUUCAAACAAUUUUAAAGGGUUUUUUUGUUUGUUUGUUUAUUUGUUUGUUUAUUUAUUUACCUGCCAAAUCCCAAAUGGAAAAAGAAGAAUUAAAAAUUAUGUUAUAUAU